UACCCCGCCUGGAACUUAAGCAUAUUCAAUAAGCGGAGGAUAAAGAAACUAACAAGGAUUCCCCUAGUAACUGCGAGUGAAGCGGGAAAAGCUCAAAUUUAAAAUCUGGCAGUCUCUGGCUGUCCGAGUUGUAAUCUAGAGAAGUGAUGCCCGCGCUGGACCGUGUACAAGUCUCCUGGAAUGGAGCGUCAUAGAGGGUGAGAAUCCCGUCUCUGACACGGACUACCAGGGCUUUGUGGUAUGCUCUCAAAGAGUCGAGUUGUUUGGGAAUGCAGCUCAAAAUGGGUGGUAAAUUCCAUCUAAAGCUAAAUAUUGGCGAGAGACCGAUAGCGAACAAGUACCGUGAGGGAAAGAUGAAAAGAACUUUGGAAAGAGAGUUAAACAGUACGUGAAAUUGCUGAAAGGGAAACGCUUGAAGUCAGUCGCGUUAGCCAGGGAUCAGCCUCGCAUUUUUGUGUGGUGUAUUUUCUGGUUGACGGGUCAGCAUCAAUUUUGACUGCUGGAAAAAGGCUUGGGGAAUGUAGCAGCUUUUGGCUGUGUUAUAGCCUCAUGUUGCAUACAGCAGUUGGGAUUGAGGAACUCAGCAUGCCGCAAGGCCGGGUUUCGACCACGUUCAUGCUUAGGAUGCUGGCAUAAUGGCUUUAAGCGACCCGUCUUGAAACACGGACCAAGGAGUCUAACAUACCUGCGAGUGUUUGGGUGGUAAACCCAAGCGCGUAAUGAAAGUGAAAGUUGAGAUCCCUGUCGUGGGGAGCAUCGACGCCCGGACCAGAACUUUUGGGACGGAUCCGCGGUAGAGCAUGUAUGUUGGGACCCGAAAGAUGGUGAACUAUGCCUGAAUAGGGUGAAGCCAGAGGAAACUCUGGUGGAGGCUCGUAGCGAUUCUGACGUGCGAAAGUCUCUCGUCAGAAUACGCCUAUGAAGGUGAGAGAAGUUCCCCUACAGUACCCCC
rnacentral:rRNA from 1 species